CGCUACUCUGUACUUUUCCUCAUCUCAACAACAAAUCUCAUGUGUGGCAUAAACCCAGCUGUGCUCUGCUGGACCUUUAUUUCUUUAACAGCCCUGAAACUGGACUCAAUAGAGACCCCAAUACUCAAUACAGAGUAAUUUGCUGCUUUUUCCUGAUUGGUUCCCCUUUAUUACUCUUGUUUUUUAAACUGCACAAACUGUUAAUAAUAGAAGCACGUAGGCACCCUUCAACAUUAGUGUUUUGCCAUAUUUAGACAAGAAGGUGGAGUGCUGUUAUCAGCUAAUUCUAGCUUGUUAGACUGUAUCUGGUCUUUAAGUGAUGACGUAUGAACCCUGGUUCCAAACUACUCUGUGUUCAUUAAGGCUGUUGUGUUUCUAACAUGUUUUAAUGUUUGUAUAUGUAUAUAACCUGGUAUUGUGGAUGGAUUAUCUCAGUUGUUCUCCUGACUGAAGUUCGUUUACAGCAUCCUGCCAUGCGACUGCAUUUAACUGUGUUGUUGGUCAGAUGAUGUCACUAAAAAUGGAUGUUAGAGGAACCUACAGGUGGCAGUUAGCUACAGAUAGCUAGCAGCUAACUGCUAGCAAAACAUGUUAGCAUCAGUAGUAACUUGUGGAAACUUUAAAAUGCAGAACUCAGAAACCUCUGGGUCACGUCACCAUGGCGACAUAUAUCUUUUAUAAAAGUCUCUACUGAAGGCCCAAAGUUUAAAGAAGUUGACAAGUCAUAUCUAUAAUUUAACAUCCAACUCUGCGGCGGCUUCACUUGCCUCAGCUGAGGGAGUCGGGAGUUAGCCGGGCGCCGGGCAGGAUGUGGAAACUUCAGAGACUGGAGGCUGAUUUGUGUCAGAGUGAAAACAGAACACGCUUCAUCAAAUCUACACCUGCAGGCUAAAGGAUGCUCAUCCAACGUUUUAUCGGUCUCGGAAAGAUACCUGUAAAUGAUUUAUAUUUCUAGGUAUUUUUGCCCCCAUCCGUGGAAAAACGACUUUGCUCCCUUUAAUGGAGGCCUUCUUCAGUAAGAGGCUGGAACAAAUAAAUGGCUCCGUAUCAUCAAGAUGCCAUCAAAGGGACCAAAACGUUCAGAUAAAUCUAUUUAUUCAUUCAUUUACGUAAACG
ensembl:lncRNA